AGCUAACGUUGCUUAUGUGUUAGCUUAUUCUGGUGUGAUGUCACGAAUUGGAAAAGAGCAGAAAAGAUGGCCUGGGGACAGCAAGAACAACGACGAGGAACGGACUAGGAAUUUAGACCACUCCUUGGGUACGACAAGCCACGCACUAACAAUGCCCCUGUGACUGGUGGAACGCCUCCCUUUGGGCUUUCCAAUCAAAUGUGGCCCCAUGUGGACCUGCACGUCCUAACAACAGACAGGCCAACGUGGACUUCUAAGGGGAGCUUUGUGCUCUGACAAGAGCUCAAUGUAUCCACCCAUGACACAUGACCGAAGGAAAGGAUUUUUGAUUUCAAAACAGCAAGAACAAUAUUUAUUGUUCAUCUUGUUUUCUGCUUCCUCAACAGUACAAUUGUAGAGUCUAUUCAAUGCACUUUGCAUUAAGCUUGUGUUUUGAGUUAGGAACAAGAGGAACGGGACUGUGAACAACGAAAAACAGUCAGUAAUUGAUGCACCCGUUAAAAAUGUUUAUAAUUGCUUCUAUUAAUCGUUUAAACUCUAAAUAUACUACAUCACAAAACAAUUUAGUGUAAUUUCAAACUCAUUUUACAACAUUACCCGUAAACAUGAAUGGUUUACAAAUAGGCUUACAAAACAAAACAUACACGUGACAAAGACUCUCCUACACUAACAUAUAAACUUAGCUCCUCCCUGACAUGCAAAGAUUUUAAUCUCUCAGUCGAGCUUAUUCUAACCUAUUUCCAUAACACCAAUUACUAGUUUCCUCCUAGACUGGAUGUCGGGGCCAUUUUAUGGCAUCUUAGGGCAUAAAAAAAAAAAAAAAGUGAAAAGAUAAGGUUUUCAGCCAAUAGUUGAGGAUAUGUUCCACAAGAAAAAAAACACCAGAAUGUGAAUUAAUUAUUAGUAAACCGUUCACUGUAUCACCAAAUAUUCCGAUGAAAACAAUAAAUGCAUUACAAACACGUGCUUAUUCAUUGGACACUGACGGUAAAUAUUGAAGCUCAAUGUUCAUAUUCAAAAUGAUUUAUUUGUGAUAAUAAUAAUAUUUCCUCACGAGCUUCUGAGCGUGUCCAAUAAGGCUGUGCAUUGUUCUCUCUGUUUUUAAGUCACGCAAGCUCUUGCAGUCAGUCUGAAAGUGUUAGACUUCCAUCGUGAUUUACAAGUCUGCGUGUGACCUUCUCUUUUUAUAAUGUGAGCGUGUAAUUCUCUGGAGUUAAACGUCAUGUUAGAUCAGAGGAGCUACUCGUGUCCUUAUCCCAGGAGUGCAUAAGCAGCAGUGGCAGUGGUUCAGAGGUUCCUUUUAAGGGCACCAUUGUCAUGAGCUUGAUGCAUUUCACUCACUGCGGUUGUCCGUGAUUGCACACAAGUGUAGUAAUACAUUGUUAAAAAAAACAAAACAAAACAGAUAAAACACCACCUUGGAGGUCACAAAUAGAAAACCCACUCCAAAAACAGCCAUUUCCUGCCUCAGAAAGACUCUCUAAAGCAUGAUAUACUGUACCGUAAACGAUAUAUUUUGCCACAAAAAACGAGAAUAAAUUUACCAAAAUGUCAAAGUGAU